GAUGAACGCUGGCGGCGUGCCUAAUACAUGCAAGUCGAGCGAACAGAUGAGGAGCUUGCUCCUCUGACGUUAGCGGCGGACGGGUGAGUAACACGUGGAUAACCUACCUAUAAGACUGGGAUAACUUCGGGAAACCGGAGCUAAUACCGGAUAAUAUAUUGAACCGCAUGGUUCAAUAGUGAAAGACGGUUUUGCUGUCACUUAUAGAUGGAUCCGCGCCGCAUUAGCUAGUUGGUAAGGUAACGGCUUACCAAGGCAACGAUGCGUAGCCGACCUGAGAGGGUGAUCGGCCACACUGGAACUGAGACACGGUCCAGACGCCUACGGGAGGCAGCAGUAGGGAAUCUUACGCAAUGGGCGAAAGCCUGACGGAGCAACGCCGCGUGAGUGAUGAAGGUCUUCGGAUCGUAAAACUCUGUUAUUAGGGAAGAACAAAUGUGUAAGUAACUAUGCACGUCUUGACGGUACCUAAUCAGAAAGCCACGGCUAACUACGUG
rnacentral:rRNA from 1 species